rnacentral:rRNA from 1 species
CCUACGGGAGGCAGCAGUGGGGAAUAUUGGGCGAUGGGCGCAAGCCUGACCCAGCAACGCCGCGUGAAGGAAGAAGGCUCUCGGGUUGUAAACCUCUUUUGACAGGGAAGAGUAGAAGACGGUACCUGUCGAAUAAGCCACGGCUAACUACGUGCCAGCAGCCGCGGUAAUACGUAGGGGGCAAGCGUUGUCCGGAUUUACUGGGUGUAAAGGGCGUGUAGCCGGGUUGACAAGUCAGAUGUGAAAUCCGGCGGCUUAACCGCAGAACUGCAUUUGAAACUGUUGAUCUUGAGUACUGGAGAGGCAGACGGAAUUCCUAGUGUAGCGGUGAAAUGCGUAGAUAUUAGGAGGAACCCCAGUGGCGAAGGCGGCCUGCUGGACAGCAACUGACGGUGAGGCGCGAAAGCGUGGGGAGCAAACAGGAUUAGAUACCCUAGUAGUC